ACGAACGCUGGCGGCGUGCUUAACACCUGCCAGUCGAACGGAAAGGCCCUGCUUUUGUGGGGUGCUCGAGUGGCGAACGGGUGAGUAACACGUGAGUAACCUGCCCUUGACUUUGGGAUAACUUCAGGAAACUGGGGCUAAUACCGGAUAGGAGCUCCUGCUGCAUGGUGGGGGUUGGAAAGUUUCGGCGGUUGGGGAUGGACUCGCGGCUUAUCAGCUUGGUGGGGGGGUAGUGGCUUACCAAGGCUUUGACGGGUAGCCGGCCUGAGAGGGUGACCGGCCACAUUGGGACUGAGAUACGGCCCAGACUCCUACGGGAGGCAGCAGUGGGGAAUAUUGCACAAUGGGCGGAAGCCUGAUGCAGCAACGCCGCGUGCGGGAUGACGGCCUUCGGGUUGUAAACCGCUUUCGCCUGUGACGAAGCGUGAGUGACGGUAAUGGGUAAAGAAGCACCGGCUAACUACGUG
rnacentral:rRNA from 1 species